rnacentral:rRNA from 1 species
UUAAAAAGCUCGUAGUUGAACCUUGGGCCUGGCUGGCCGGUCCGCCUCACCGCGUGCACUGGUUCGGCCGGGCCUUUCCCUCUGGGGAACCUCAUGCCCUUCACUGGGUGUGAUAGGGAACCAGGACUUUUACUGUGAAAAAAUUAGAGUGUUCAAAGCAGGCCUAUGCUCGAAUACAUUAGCAUGGAAUAAUAGAAUAGGACGUGUGGUUCUAUUUUGUUGGUUUCUAGGACCGCCGUAAUGAUUAAUAGGGACAGUCGGGGG